UUAUUACGAAGCAAAUAAAUCCAUACACAUCUAGAUAAAUCAUCAAAGAUAGUUAAAAAAUACUUAGCUCCACAAGAUGAACGAGUUGUGUAGGGCCCCCACAAAUCCAAAUGGACUAGUUCAAACAUUCUACUAGCUUUAUUUUCACUAACAGGAAAACUACUUCUAGUAUGUUUUGCACGAGAACAGAUAUCACAUACUUUAUUACUUGUUCGAACCGCAAUUCGUACUGGAGGAAGAAGUCUCAAAAUCUUUUCGGACGGAUGUCCCAUGCGUUGAUGCCAUAAAUCUACUACACAAUCAGUCUCAAUUGCACGCACUUAGACCGAUGAAAUACCACGGAAAAAACAAACUACAUAUGCUCGUUCACCCAAGUCAAUUAUCUUCCUCGUUGAUCGGUCCUGUAUAACACAUAUUAUGUCAGUAUAUUGAGCAGAACAAUUUGAUUCAUCAUUUAGUUGCGUUACAGAAAUUAAAUUGCAAUUUAAUCUAGGCACAAACAACACAUUAUUAAGCACCAAUCCCCCUUCUAGUUCCAUCAAACCGAUUUGAUUCGCAUUCGUGAAUUGGCCGUCCGGGAGUCCAACGGGACAAUCCGGUACUGUCUGCACAUUCUUUAAAAUCGACAGAUCGUAGGUGACAUGAUUUGAUGCUCCUGUAUCAACAAUCCAAAGUAUAGUAUUUGUCGUACACUGCAGGUUUGCCUUGGAUUUUGAUGUUAGUAUAUCCAGAAUUUGUUACACUUGUGUACUAGACACUCCCACGAGACCAUCUGCAUGCCACCUGCAUUACUCUCUGCUAUUUUUGUUUGUUGAGUUACUGCCGCUGCCACUCCCACUCCCACUACCUCCCAUCAUUGCAAUGUUGAUGCCACAUAAUUUAAUUGGUGCGAUGAAAUUUCCCGGACCUUCGCUAGAUCUUCGGUUGUGUUUUGACAAGUUCUUCUGCCUUUAGUGGGGUUUUCUCAUCAUACCCCUUUGCCAUAUCUCACGGCAAUAGGAGGGUUUAACUCCCAAACUUGCUUAUUUUCUCAAUCUCACGUAAUUCGUCUUAAUUUAAUUUGCGGGAAAAGAAAAAAAAAAAAAAAAGAACCUUAACCUAGGCCCAUCAAGCUUGAAUAUUAUUAUCAUCAACGUAAUCUUUUAUAGGAAGCAAACUCCUACACAAAUACUGACUCCUACCCAAACACUGACUCCUAUUCUAACGUAAUACUAGGACUUUAACACUACCAUUCUACAUCCAACGUAUUCAACAGAUACAUUCAAAAAAAAACGUAUUCAACAGAUAUUAGGAAACUAUGUAUUUCCUAAUCUAUCUCCGUAUCAAUAUCACUAAAUACAAUAGUGAAUCAACUGAAAAUAUAUUUUUUAAAGAUUAGAAAUCCAAUACUUCUUGUCCAUUUCCGAUCACUAGAGGAAAAAUCGUCAUGUGCUUCUCUUCAAAUGCGGCUCAUUUAAUAAAUUGGCAGCACUUGAGAGCACAAAAAAAAUACAUUUUCACAAGUGCGGGCUCAAUAAGAAAAUUGGCAGCACUUAAGUUUAAGUGCGGGCUCAAUAAGAAAAUUGGCAGCACUUAAGUUCAAGUGCGGGCUUCAAAGUCAGGUGCGGGCUCAUUUCAGAAAGGAGCCGCACAAAAUAUUUCUAAAAAAAUUUAAUUUUCCCUCUUCUCCUCCUUCCCCUUUUCUGGAUCUCUGCCAUUAAACCUAAGCUCUUUUUUUUCAUUCUCCAGCUUCUCCUCCUUCCCCUUCCGUAGUUCUCUUUUUCUUUGGUUUCUAACAAGGCCCGAAACUCAAAAUUCACAUCACACACCACGACAAGCCGCGCCGCCGCAACUGUUCCGUCACCACCGAUCUCUUCCUCUUCCUGUCGCGUCGCCACUGCUGUUACCGCCACUGUUGUUCCGUUACCGCAGCGUCUCUUGUAAUUGGUGUUGUAUCCAUAGUCGUCGCCGCCGCCUCUGCCGACCAACUCCCCUUCUCUGGUGCUGCAAUUCUCGGGUAGUACUUUGUACACUUUCCUUCUUGCAUGCAUGAAGAUCGUUGGUUUAUCACCCUACAAGGACCAUGAAUCAUGUGUUGAACCACGGCUUUAAAUGCAUCUGGGUUUUUUUCAGGAUCUGGCAGUUCUGCACUGAUUAUUCUAUCAAUGUCUUCGGAUGUCCUUGGUUUAUCUUCUUCAUUCAAGAACAAUAAAAUGUGUGCAUGGGGUAAUCCUCUUUUUUGAAACUCUAUUGUGUAUAUUGCUGUAAAAAGUAAGAUAGCAUUUAAUAGAUUAUUAAAGUAAAUAUAGAAUUAAUGUUAUUGUUAAUGUAUUUUAUUAUCUUUUA